GCCGGGGUGGUGUACCUGGUGUGCACGUUGCUCUGAAAAAGCAAAGGUUGCAGUUCGAUUCUGCGCCCCGGCA
rnacentral:tRNA from 1 species